rnacentral:rRNA from 1 species
CAAGUCGAGGGGCAGCAUGAUUGAAGCUUGCUUCAAUUGAUGGCGACCGGCGCACGGGUGAGUAACGCGUAUCCAACCUUCCGUACACUCAGGGAUAGCCUUUCGAAAGAAAGAUUAAUACCUGAUGGUAUGAUGAGAUUGCAUGAUAGCAUCAUUAAAGAUUUAUCGGUGUACGAUGGGGAUGCGUUCCAUUAGGUAGUAGGCGGGGUAACGGCCCACCUAGCCUACGAUGGAUAGGGGUUCUGAGAGGAAGGUCCCCCACAUUGGAACUGAGACACGGUCCAAACUCCUACGGGAGGCAGCAGUGAGGAAUAUUGGUCAAUGGACGAGAGUCUGAACCAGCCAAGUAGCGUGAAGGAUGAAGGUCUUACGGAUUGUAAACUUCUUUUAUAAGGGAAUAAAACCUCCCACGUGUGGGAGCUUGUAUGUACCUUAUGAAUAAGCAUCGGCUAACUCCGUGCCAGCAGCCGCGGUAAUACGGAGGAUGCGAGCGUUAUCCGGAUUUAUUGGGUUUAAAGGGAGCGCAGACGGGUCGUUAAGUCAGCCGUGAAAGUUUGGGGCUCAACCUUAAAAUUGCAGUUGAUACUGGCGUCCUUGAGUGCGGUUGAGGUGUGCGGAAUUCGUGGUGUAGCGGUGAAAUGCUUAGAUAUCACGAAGAACUCCGAUUGCGAAGGCAGCACACUAAGCCGUAACUGACGUUCAUGCUCGAAAGUGUGGGUAUCAAACAGGAUUAGAUACCCUGGUAGUCCACACGGUAAACGAUGGAUACUCGCUGUUGGCGAUAUACGGUCAGCGGCUUAGCGAA